GGACCUGCUUUCCUGAGAAGAAAAAGAAUAAAGAAUAAAUGAUAAGGGGCAGUCUGUAGGAAGGAUAGGUGGCAUUAUUAUUAUUUUUUCUUUUCAGUUCCUCUUAAGCCAAUCAAAAUAACUUUUCUUCAUUUAAAAGCAAUCUCCCCUACUGCAUUUCACAUCUGAUGAAGCUUUUAUUUGAACAAAUAACAAAUGUACAUAUAAAUCCGUGUGUCAAAAAUGGACACACAGAGCAAACAUGUGCCAUCACACAGAUUUUCCCUUUGAGAGGAUGACAAGCUAAAGAGCACUUUGAAUGGGAACUUGGUAUGAAAAAACUGUCGGUGUGGAAUGAAUAUGGUGUCCUUUUGGAAAAGGUGCUCUCUGCUUGAAAGGAGGGAUACUUUUGAAGAAACAGUGCCACCACCCAUGAACUGCCUUAUAAGAGAAGUGAUUACUAGGAAGGUACACUAAGCCUGAGUUGGUUGUACAAUUUGGCUAUGCAACUGUGACAGGUGGUGACAAGCUUAUUUAUUUCUAUUACUGAAUAUAGAUUGGAUGUCAUGAUGUGCAAGAUUUUGCAAACAUCUCAGUUUCUACAGUAUUUUCCUAGUAGACCAGCAUUUUCCAGAAGUGGACACAUUUCCUGAGUGCCACUAGAUACACAUGCCUUAUACACAGCUGUACUUGAUGUCCAGGAGGCCUGAUUUAGAUCAGGGCCAGGGAAUGAGGGGGUUAACCCUUUGCCCCCACCCCCAAGUUCUGACCUAAUUUUCCCUCUGAAAUUGUUAUUUGUCCCAUUAAGGAAAACGUGUGAGUGCAAAGAACAGCUUGGGUGUGAUGCAGACUGAGACACAGUGAGAGAGCAAAGGGUUUAAACUCUCCUUCCUCCUGCUAGAGCCCCAAUUUGGAUCACGUGUGUUCCAGCUGCUUUUGAUGCCACAGGAAAAGCUUGUGGAAAUCCAAGCCUGGAAUUCCUGAGUAACAGCCAGAUCAGCCCUCAUUCACCUUCACCAGUGUUCUGGUUGAGUGCAAAUGUGGUAGAAUAAGUCAACGAGCAUUAGGCCUUUGCUUUACAUGUUAGUUUUAUGCAAUUAAAUCUUAUUUUAUGAAUAGUUAAUAUGGUUUAAUUGCUGUAAAUAAAUGCCCACCUCCAUUUAAAUUCUGGAUGUUCUGCAAUGAUCCCUCAUUGCUUAGGCCUUACCAUAGAGUUUCUGAUCAGGGGCUUGUCAUGUGGAUCUUUUCUCCCUCCCAUGCACAGUCCUCCUUCCUGCUGGGAUCCCUGAAGUCAGUGAAGAGCUGGCUCUGCCUAGGGCAGGGGUGAACAAACUUGGUCCUUCAGCUGGAGUUAUCAUUCAACAACUGGAGAGACAGGUUUGCCCACCACUGCCUUAGGGAGAUGAUGGGGAAGGAGGUCUACUUUAUUUAUUUCACUUAAAAUCAACCUCAGGCUGCGGAAAGCUGGAUUUGGCUGGCUGUUUGCCCUCCCAGCCCCAGAUAACCCUGUGAACCUUGAAGUGUCCUAGCUGGAGCCAUGGAGCAGAAUUCAAGAACCAUAAUGCAUCUGGGGCCAAAGUUUCCCACAUCCUUCCAUCACACUGAACCCAGUCCCAUCAGUGGGAGAGGGACAAUUAAUAGAACUUCUGAGCAAACAGUUAGAAUUAAACUGUAAUUCUGAAUGGGGAUAAUGGAAGAGCCUACUUGCAACUGUUGUGCACUAAACCAGAAAAGCCCACUUUCCCUUAAAACAGUUGUGUUUUCAGUAAUGUUGCCGUAACCCAAGAUUGGUUGUAUGCUGACCAUUUUACAAUUAGCACUUCUUCUUCUUCUUUAAGAAAUUUUAAUAAGAGGCAAGAACCAGAAAGUUCAACCCUGCCAUUAUCUCGUGGGUUUAAGGCUCUGGUUCCCAAUCAGGGUUCCUCUAGAUGCUGCUGAACUACAACUCUCAUCACUCCCAGCUACAAUUUAUUGCUUUAAGGCAUAACAUUGCCAUUAUCAACAUAUAUCACAUCUUUGUUGAAGGACACAUAUCUGCUCCGGGAUGACUUUGAAGUAAGUAGCUUGCACUAUGAAGCAACAGCAUCAUCAGAGAUUGCAGGUGAGAACCAGAGCAAUAGUCAAGUGACUUCUGAAAAUAUCCUGAAUCUUCAUUUUAUCUCCUUCUUGUUUAUCUUCUUUCCAAUGCACAAACCUUUCAGAUGAGAAAAACAGGGCUGUACUCUGUGUGUGGCCUGACAAUGAACCAUUAUUGUUCAGCUUCCCACCCCCCGCCCCUUUUCUUUUUUGCUGAUUGGUCUGGGACUGUGUACUUUUGCUUUGUUUUGGCUUGGUUUCUGCUAUAUAAAUAAAUACACUUUUGUUCUUCAGAA